rnacentral:rRNA from 1 species
UACAUGGUAGAUAGGCCGGGGGUGUAAGGGCAGCAAUGCCUGCAGCCGACCGGUACUAAUAGGUCGAGGUCUUGACCUA